GCCUCAAGAGACCCUCCCACCUAAGCCUCUCAGAGUGCUGGGAUUACAGGUGUGAGCCACUGCACCUGGCCAACUUCUCCCUUCUCUUGAAUCCUUGCUGCCUCACGACAGGUGUCAGAGCGGCACCACCACACCGCAAAGUGAAGAGAUGAUGCCGUGCCUGGGAGGGUGGCUGGAGAGUCCCCCAUCACUGCUAGUAUGGGAACGGUGAUGGUAUGCAGAGAGGAGGUGUGGUUAGAAGGUCAGACAUGCUGUUGUGAGAGAGACGAAAGGGUUACACUGCGGUUCUCACUGCCUGCCUGAAGUGACAGCCGAAGGCUGAGCAGACCUCCGGGAAGUGGUCAUGAGGAUCUGGCUCGAUCUGCUGAAAAUAUAAUCUAGGCCAUCAGAAAAGAGGAGGGAAGAGCUGGAGCUGUGAAGAAAGAUGAGAUCACUGAGAGCUGCUGAGUCCCAAAGAAUCAAAACGAAGCCCUGCUCUGAGGCUUGUGGGUGAGCCUGGUGACCUUCCUUUCUUUUGAACUGUCUUCAUGUCUUCUCAUUUUUACGUAGUUGUGGCUACUCUUUGGGGAAAGUGUGGCUGCUUUUCUCUGUCUGCACAGAAGCAAUGCAAGGUUAUAGACUCCGGAACAUGAGAGCCAGAAGGAGCCACGAGAAGGGUAGGGGAAACGUCUGUUUUACAGAGGAGGACCCAAAUCUUAGGCAGCUUGCUGAGGCCACAGAGCUCACAGGGGAAUUUAGUUUGUUGACUUCCAGCUUGGAAUUCUUUGUCACACAAGUGUUGGGGCUCAUAAAAUAAUGCCCAAAAUGUGGCACUUGACGAGCUGAACUAAAGCAGCAGCUUCAAGGUUUCUCUCUGGCUUUCCCCCGCCAUCGUGUGUCUGUGACCCUUUCUUUUCUUUUCUUUUUUUUUUUUUUUUGACCCUUUUCUAAAGCACCAGGAGCAUGCUGUCUCUCUGACCUUUUUCUUUUCUUUUCAACCCUUUCUUUUCUAAAGCACCAGGAGGACCUCUUUCUCUGGAAGUUCCCUUACCUGAUUAAGAACACUUCUAAAAUAAAUGCAGCCGUCUUAAAGCCCCCUCCCUAUGAAUCUCAUUAAAUAACCAGGAAUGAUUAAUCACCCAAGAAAAGACUGAAAAAGAAGCUACAGCCAGGAUACCAUACCCAGACAGACUUUUCGUCUUUUCUUCUGAGGGAGGUUCCAAGAGAUAACCUGGGAGACUGUAUCUGCAUAAUAAGACAACCUUAGUUCACAGUGCAGUACCACCCCUCACCUUCCAUGACUUGUCCACAAGCUAUUGUUUGUCCUUCAGUCCCAUUCAGCAUCCAAAGAGAACCAUUUGCAAACCACUGUCAGGUAUUUGGGUCCAUUCAUUUACAGCCCCCCAGCUCCCUUUCCCUAGUGAAGAGAGUAUUUAAGUGCCAACCAUUGGGCCUUUCUGUGUAUGUUCAUAUUUUUUAUAUGGCUUCCCUGCUUCAUGCAUGUUAAUAAAUUUGUUAUGAUUUUCUCUUGUUAA
rnacentral:lncRNA from 1 species